UCACCAUCAUAAGCUGACCCUGUACAGCAAGAAACAUAACUCCAUCCUGCUUUUUGCAAGAUUUAUGGCCCCUUUUGGACUUAAAAAAUAUCAGAUUUCUUGGUUAAGUUUUAUGUUUAGGUCAACUUUUUCUCUUAAACUAUCAAAGCUAUUGCUUUGAAACUUGCAACACUUGUUCACCAUCAUAAGCUGACCCUGUACAGCAAGCAACAUAACUCCAUCCUGCUUUUUGCAAUAAUUAUUGCCCCUUUUGGACUUAGAAAAUCAUUUUCUUGGUUGAGUAUUAUGUUUAAGGCAACUUUUCUCAUAAACUAUCAAAGCUAUUGCUUUAAAACUUGCAACAGUUUUUCACAAUCAUAAGUGGACACUGUACAUCAAGAAACAUAACUCUAUCCUGCUUUUUGCAAGAAUGAUGGCCCUUUUUAGACUUAGAAAAUCAUGGGUAGGACAAUAUUUCUAUUAUACAAAAAAAAUCAGAUGAGCGUCAGCACCCGCAAGGCGGUGCUCUUGUUAUUAGUAUCCAUACUUUAAAUAUAAUACUGUUAUGUCUAAUCUGUAGUCAACAGGUGAUAUAAAGAAGUAUAUAUAAAGUUUUAUAUUUUUAUGACAGGCUGAAUAUUCUUUUAUAAGUUAUAGCAGAUUUUUUAUGUCUUUCACAUGUAAUGAGGGAGACAUAUUGAUUUAGUGCUGUUUGUCUGUUUAACAGUCUCAAAUUUGUCCAUGCAACUCCAAAGACAUUACUGGAUGUGUUUACACCAAAUUUCCUGUGAAAGAUCAUUGACAAGCCUAGUUAUGCAUCUUAUCAGCAUUUUCCUGUAUGAUGAUUUUCAGCAGAGUAAUGGCCCUUGUUUCAUCAAGUUCUAUGAUGUUUUGCCUACUUCUCUUAUAUUACUGGGCAGAUUUUUACCAAACCUUAUAGGAAUGAUCUGUGCCAGGCCUCAUUAUGCACAUCAUCAGCAUUUUAUUGUUUGAUGAUUUUCAGCAGAGAUACAGCCCUUGAUCCCUCAAAUUUAAGUUUUAGCCACCUCUCAAAUGUUAUUGGUUGGAUAUCCACCAAAACCGUACAGGAGUGAUCAUUGGCAAGUGAUCAUUGGCAAGCCUCAUUGUGCAUGUUACUGGCAAAUUCCGGUUUAGUUUCAGUGGGGUUAUGGCCCUUGAUUUGUUGUGUUAUUUACCUUGGCCGUGCAACUGCCUUGAUAUCCACUAGAGGAAUUACACUGGACUUCACAAAAGUGAUAAUUGUCAAGCUCAGUUGUGAACUUUUUGGCAUGUUCAGGUUUGCUGUUUUUCAACAGAGUUGUGUCCCUUGAUUUGUCACCAAACCUGACAAGAGUGAACAGUGCCAAGUCUUACUUUCUGUGAUUUCAGGAGAGUUAUGGCCCUUUAUUUGCCAACUUGGCAACUCCUUUUGCACCAUUGGGCAGGAGUUAUCAGUGCCAAGCCUAGUUUGACAUAUCAGCAUGUUCCAGUUCAGUAAUUUUCAAACAGAGUUAUAGCCCUUGGUUUGUCAUAAUUUACAAUGAUUACACUGCUUGCUAUAUACAGUUAAGCUGAAUUUGACCAAACCCCAUGAGUGGUUAGUGUGAAGCCUAGUUGUGAAAAUUAUUUUUCAUGUUCUGAUUAAAUGAUAAUGUUAUUACCCUGGAUUUGUCAAAUUUUCCAUCUGUGCCACCUCUCUCUACCACUGGAUUUAAAUCCACCGGACUUCAUAGGAGUUACCACUGCCAAUCCUAGUUGUGUAUAUGGUAUGAUGUUUUGGUUCAGUGACCUGGAGUUAUGGUCCUUAAUUUGUGGCAAUUUUUAUUUUCUGUGUGGUAACUUGUGGGAGACAUAAGCUUUUCACGAAAAACAACCUUUAGUUUUCCACCAUGUACUUGCUCAAAGUAAAAUAUUGUUUACUUUUUUUUGUAAAAUACAUUUUCUGAACAAAUAUUUCAUAUAUAUAGAAUCUAUUUAAAAAUAUACCAAAUGUCAUGGUGAUGAAAAAUAAGUCCCUGUUAUUGGAUGUAUCAUAUAAACAUUUUAUGCAAGUUUAAUAUAUAUAUAUAUAUGUUCAAUAAGUUUGUAAGGAAUAGCUUUGUUCCUCUUUAGAAUAACAACCUUUGUGAUUUUACUUCACAGGGGUUGCAGUGAGUUUAGUUGUCUAGCUUAACAUUGAAGUUUAUUUGAAUUACUCUUUGAAUCAGUUUCAUUAAAAAGGGGUUCAAGUCUUUCGAGAGUGUAAGGUCAUGCUCAGUGGCGGCUUGAAUUAGCAAGCCAAUCAUUGCAUGUAUAGUCAGACACAAAAAUAUAAAAAUGCAUAAUACAGUUAUAGAACCUGUGCUCCUCAAGUCAUAAUAUUACAGUGAACAAGUGUGUGAAGUUUAAUUCCAUUCCCACCAGUGGUUACUGAAAUUUGUUUGUUUGUUUUGGGUUUAAUACUGUUUUUCAACAGUAUUUCAGUCAUGUAACGGCGGGCAGUUAACCUAGCCAGUGUUCCUUGAUUCUGUACCAGUACAAACCUGUUCUCCGCAAGUAACUGCCAUCUUCCCCACAUGAAUCAGAGGUGGAGGACGAAUGAUUUCAGACACAAUGUCGUUUAUCAAAUAGUCACGGAGAACAUACGCCCCGCCCAGGGAUCAAACUCACAACCCCGCGAUUUGUAGACCAGCGCUCUACCUACUGAGCUAAGCGGGCGGGCUGGUUACUGAAAUACCAAGAUUGUUGUAUUUCAAGGGUGGGGGUAACUCCCCCUGCCUUGUGGGGAGAUUUUCAGGGUGGGGAAUAAUUAGCAUAGGUUUUAUUUAUCUUUCUUAUCAGUGUUUCUUGCUGAAUACAUUAUAUUAGACUUCGUAUUUUAUUCAUUAGGGGCUUCCAUAGUCAAGUGGUUUAGAUGACUUAGAGUUAAUUUGUCUCUCACCACUGUGGGGUGCUGGGAAGUCCUGCUAACUGGCUUAUAGAAGGUCAGUGGUUUUACACAGAUGUCUACAUGUACCUGAAAUAAUUCAACUUCCAAAAUGUCACCACAUAAUGCAAUUUGUAUUGAUGUUUAGCUAAACCCAGCAAGGAAAAAUAAAACAGGUUUCAAUUAUCACAUUGGAACAUUGAGUAGCUGUUUUCUGUUUUAUGCAAAGAGCUAACCAGGGUACAAGCUGAUUUAAAAAAUUUCAUUCAUAUUGUGCUAAGUGAUGAUAUUUUACUUUUAAAGGAAAAUGUGCAAAUCUUGCGUCACAUAUUUUGUGAAAUGUGUUCUUUAUUGACCCUUUAUGUUUAUAGAAUUUGUUUAAAUUGAACUUCUACAUGUUAUCUCAUAUUGUUAUUUCUUGUGUUAAGUUUGCUCGUCUAUAUUUUCUUACAUUUUAUUUAAAAAUUUAUACAUGUACAUUGAAAAUGAAAUUUUAUGACUCCUAGACAGUAUUUCAUUCAUGUUAUUUUGUUAAGAACUGUAUGGUUUAGCGAUGCAUUUUGUAUUAGUUAUAUUUUUAGCUCACCUGAGCAAUGCUCAGGUGAGUUUUUGUGAUCGCUCAGUGUCUGUCGUCUGUCUGUCUGUCAACAUUUCGCUUGUGUAUGCGAUAGAGUCUGUAUUUUUCAACUGAUCUUCAUGAAAUUUUGUCAGAAAGAUAAUCUUAAUGAAAUCUAGGCCAUGUUGGAAAAUGGGUCAUCUGGGGUCAAAAACUAGGUCAAAUAAAAAAACACCUUGUGUAUGCAUAGAGGCGUUAUUUUUCAAUUGAUCUUCAUGAAUUUUGGUCAGAAUCAUAACAUAGAGGCGUUAUUUUUCAAUUGAUCUUCAUGAAUUUUGGUCAGAAUCAUAACCUUGAUGAAAUCUAGGCGAAGUUCGAAAAUGGGUCAUCUGGGGUCAGAAACUAGGUCACUAGGCCAAAUCAAAGAAAAACCUUGUGUAUGCCAUAGAGGCUGUAUUUUUCAACUGAUCUUGAUGAAGUUUUGUCAGAUUGAUAACCUUGAUGAAAGCUAGGCCAAGUUCGAAAAUGAGUCAUCUUGGAUAAAAAAAACUAGGUCACUAGGUCAUAUCAAAGAAAAAAGCUUUUGUAUGCAAUAGGGUCUGCAUUUUAGACCUAAUCUUCAUGAAUUUUGGUCAGAAUGAUUACCUUGAUGAAAUCUAGGCCACGUUUGAAAAUGGGUCAUCUGGGGUCAAAACCAAAUCACUAGAUCAAAUCAAAGAAAAAAUCUUGUGUAUGUGAUAGAAGCAUUAUUUUUCAAUUGAUCUUCAUGAAUUUUGGUCAGAAUGAUUGCUUUGAUGAAAUCUAGGUCAAGUUCGAAUAUGGGUCAUCUUGGGUCAAAAACUAGGUCAUAAGGUCAUAUCAAAGAAAAAGCUUGUGUAUGCAAUAAGGACUGCAUUUUACACUGAAUCUUCAUGAAAUUUGAUCAGAAUGUUUGUCUGGAUGAAAUCUUGGUCAAGUUUGAAUGUGGGUCAAAAACUAGGUUACCCGGUCAAAUAAAAGAAAAACCUUGUGUAGGCAAUAGGGGCUGCAUUUUACACUGGAUAUUCAUAAAAUGUAGUCAGAAUGAUUGCCUUGAUGAAAUCUAGGAGGAUUUUGAAUAUGGGUCAUCUGGGGUCAAAAGCUAGGUCACUAGGUCAAAUCAAGGAAAAACCAUGUGUAUGCAAUAGUGCAUUUUACACUGGAUUUUCAUAAAAUUUAGUCAGAAUGGUUGCCUUGAUGAAAUCUAGGUCAAGGUCGAAUAUGGAUCAUCUUUGGUCAAAAACUAGGUCUCUAGGUCAAAUCAAAGAAAAUAGUUGUUUGCACUCAAGAUUUUUGCUCCAGUUUUAAUGAAAAUUGGUCAGAAUAUUUGUUUCCAUGAAAUCACUAGGUCAAACAUGUUUACACUGUUAUGGUGUGUUUCUCAGGUGAGCGACCUAGGGCCAUCUUGGCCCUCUUGUGUAUUUUCAUAUUAUAUAUUGGAUCUUGACAAUAUACUUCUAAAAUAAAUAUGGUUGUCAG